rnacentral:lncRNA from 1 species
GUUCAAUUCAAAAAGAAUUUUUUGCUGGUAAAUUACCUACAGUGAUCUCAAAAGAAAGGAAUAUGAGUCUCCAAGACACAAGUAUUUGGUUGUAAUUUCUUUACUCAUUCUAAAUAAUACUCACUUCUAUAUCUUAUUUUUACAUUUGUAUUAUUUUCCUAGAAGAUUGACCCCCAAAUUUUAUAAGCUUAUGGCCCACAAAACCUGGAUCUGCCCUUGGGAAGACCCAUACCCAAGCCUCAUCUCCAGAGACUGUGUUUGCAUUGAUCUGGGGCAGAAGAGCUCAGCUGAGCUGGGAAUGUGCAAGUCCAUCACUUUUGCUCUUCUAAAGCAAGGGUGGGGGGCUUGUGCGGACUCAGAGACCUCAACUUCCUCGGGAAGCCUUCCUUUUUCCCCACCAGAUGUGAUCCCUCUGCCUCCUGAGUGCUCAUUCUACUCCAUCUGUACCUUCAUUACAGCACUGCCGUGUCGUACCACACUUUGUAUUACUGUGUCGUACUCCCUCAUCGUGGACACUGUGGUGUGCCCCCCAGAUCUCCACCAUCGGGGCCAGUGCAUACAUUCUCCCAGCUUCUGGGGAAGUUGCCAUCUGAAAGCUCAUCGCUGAGUCCCUCUCCAGGAAUUUCUCUCCUCCAAGGGGAACCCUCUCAUCCAAGGCUACUCUUCCUCCCAGGAAGGAAACCGCAUCCAGUGACAUUCUACAAAAACACAUCUCCCUGUGUCACUUCUGGACCUCUCAGCUUCAGAGCUCCCUGUGAGAUCAUGUUCCAGUUCAACUCCCCCUUCUGCCAAAUCGUACACAGGUGCUGUUCUGGAGGACACUCCCUGAUAAACUUCUGGCUGCCAAGUCUCCAUCUCAGACCCAGGGACCCCAACUGACAACACCUCUAAUGAGACAGGAAGCUUACUGAAGACCAGCUGUCAAAUUCUUUGUAUCUGCCUUCCCCUUCCGUCCUACUCCGUCUCCCUGGUACUUGGCACAGUGCCGAACAGACUUCAGAUGGAUGGGACAUGGAUGGUGACUUGCACAAAGAUUGGACAAGGACUAUCUAUUUCCCUUCUUUGCAUCCGAAGUAAACACCGAAUAUCUUCUUGUCUCUAAUAUGCAAAAUAUUCAUAGAAUUUACAAAUAAUACAAAAUAUAUACAGUCUAGGGAUUCCUUCUGUAAAGUGUUUCCUGGGGAAAUGCACAUUUUAAAACCCAGAGAAUGUUUUUUUAUUUUUAAAAUGAGGGAAGUGUAGCCCAGACUCACUUUAAUCUUUCUGCUUUAGGUGAACAGGCCUCGGGGCAAUUAAGAGAGGCGUGAUAUAAAUCUACUUUUUCUCGGGCCACUGGUGAAAUUUUCACUGUUGAUGAAGAAAGUGAACAACCCAUUCCAGUGACUCUGUAGACAUUCUAGAAAGAUCCGCUUCCCUAAAACCUUCCCUUGUUUAGCUCAAUGGUAAUUUUGGCUAAGUGAUUAUUAGUGGCAAUGCUUAUGGCCUAAUUGGGGCUGUAUUUCUGCUCUAAUGGCUCCCAGUCAACGUUCCCAGCAAGAGGUUGUGAGGCAGAUCCCCCAGUGGGUUGGCA